rnacentral:rRNA from 1 species
AUGGUGAAUAACCGUUCUGUGGUUGAACAAGCUCAUGAGAUACAGUGCAUUGUGAAGGAACUUGAACUCCUUAAAUGUGUUCUACCCGACAAAUUCGUGGCUGGGUGCAUGAUUGCAAAGUUGCCUCCUUCAUGGAAGAAUUUCGCCACAACUCUGAAGCAUAAGAGACAGGAGAUAUCAGUUGAAAAUCUGAUUGCAUCUCUUGAUGUUGAAGAAAAAGCUCGGGCUAAAGAUACCACUGAAAAAGGAGUAUUUCAAUCAUCUUCGUGGUGGAUUGAUUCGGGUCGCAAGGGAUUCUUCCGUCCUAAUGGGGAAUGGGUCACAUGCUUCUGUUCGUGGCAUUGGCACGGUGGAUCUGAAGUUUACUUCGGGAAAGAUCGUGCAACUAAGGAACGUGGAGCAUGUCCCUACUAUGAACAAGAAUCUAGUUAG